CCUACGGGAGGCAGCAGUGGGGAAUAUUGCACAAUGGGGGAAACCCUGAUGCAGCGACGCCGCGUGAGUGAAGACGUACUUCGUUAUGUAAAGCUCUAUCAGCAGGGAAGUAAAUGACGGUACCUGAGUAAGAAGCCCCGUCUAACUACGUGCCAGCAGCCGCGGUAACACGUAGGAGGCAAGCGUUAUCCGGAUUUACUGGGUGUAAAGGGAGCGUAGACGGGUGUGCAAGUCAGGAGUGAAAGGCGGGGGCUCAACCCUCGGACUGCCCUGGAUACUGUACGGCUGGAGUGCAGGAGAGGUAAGGGGAAUUCGUGGUGUAGCGGUGAAAUGCGUAGAUAUUAGGAAGAACACCAGUGGCGAAGGCAGCUUACUGGACUGUAACUGACGUUGAGGCUCGAAAGCGUGGGGAGCAAACAGGAUUAGAUACCCGAGUAGUC
rnacentral:rRNA from 1 species